rnacentral:rRNA from 1 species
CACGUAGGGUGCGAGCGUUGUCCGGCAUUAUUGGGCGUAAAGAGCUCGUAGGCGGUGUGUCGCGUCGGCCGUGAAAACCUGCAGCUUAACUGUGGGCGUGCGGUCGAUACGGGCAUCACUGGAGUUCGGCAGGGGAGACUGGAAUUCCUGGUGUAGCGGUGAAAUGCGCAGAUAUCAGGAGGAACACCGGUGGCGAAGGCGGGUCUCUGGGCCGAUACUGACGCUGAGGAGCGAAAGCGUGGGGAGCGAACAGG